AAAAAGGGUGCUCGCUACUUUAAUAUCGCGUUAGCACGGUCAAGUACCAUGCUAGCGGGGUAUGGCAAUCAAGACAUACCCAGUACGUAAUUUUUGUGAAUGCGAGGCUGUUGGCUGCCAUUUUGCACUGACGCCUCC
rnacentral:snRNA from 11 species